GAGGAAUAUUGGUCAAUGGUCGGCAGACUGAACCAGCCAAGUCGCGUGAGGGAAGACGGCCCUACGGGUUGUAAACUUCUUUUGUCGGAGAGUAAAGUACGCUACGUGUAGUGUAUUGCAAGUAUCCGAAGAAAAAGCAUCGGCUAACUCC
rnacentral:rRNA from 1 species